GAUGAACGCUGGCGGCGUGCCUAAUACAUGCAAGUCGAACGCUUCGCUUCGGUGAAGAGUGGCGAACGGGUGAGUAAUACAUAAGUAACCUGGCAUCUACAGGGGGAUAACUGAUGGAAACGUCAGCUAAGACCGCAUAGGUGUAGAGAUCGCAUGAACUCUAUAUGAAAAGUGCUACGGGACUGGUAGAUGAUGGACUUAUGGCGCAUUAGCUUGUUGGUAGGGUAACGGCCUACCAAGGCGACGAUGCGUAGCCGACCUGAGAGGGUGACCGGCCACACUGGGACUGAGACACGGCCCAGACUCCUACGGGAGGCAGCAGUAGGGAAUUUUCGGCAAUGGGGGAAACCCUGACCGAGCAACGCCGCGUGAAGGAAGAAGUAAUUCGUUAUGUAAACGUCUGUCAUAGAGGAAGAACGGUGGAUAUAGGGAAUGAUAUCCAAGUGACGGUACUCUAUAAGAAAGCCACGGCUAACUACGUG
rnacentral:rRNA from 1 species